rnacentral:rRNA from 1 species
AACGAACGCUGGCGGCAUGCCUUACACAUGCAAGUCGAACGGUAACAGGUCUUCGGAUGCUGACGAGUGGCGAACGGGUGAGUAAUACAUCGGAACGUGCCCGAUCGUGGGGGACAAUGGAGCGAAAGCUUUGCUAAUACCGCAUACGAUCUACGGAUGAAAGCAGGGGACCGCAAGGCACUGCGCGGACGGAGCGGCCGAUGGAAGAUUAGGUAGGUGGUGGGAUAAAAGCUUACCAAUACGACGAUAUGUAGCUGGUCUGAGAGGACGACCAGCCACACUGGGACUGAGACACGGACCAGACUCCUACGGGAGGCAGCAGUGGGGAAUUUUGGACAAUGGGCGAAAGCCUGAUCCAGCCAUGCCGCGUGCAGGAUGAAGGCCUUCGGGUUGUAAACUGCUUUUGUACGGAACGAAAAGCCUCUUUCUAAUAAAGAGAGGUCAUGACGGUACCGUAAGAAUAAGCACCGGCUAACUACGUGCCAGCAGCCGCAGUAAAAC